rnacentral:rRNA from 1 species
AUACGGAGGAUGCAAGCGUUAUCCGGAUUCAUUGGGUUUAAAGGGUGCGUAGGCGGCUUUUUAAGUCAGUGGUGAAAUCCUGCCGCUUAACGGUAGAAUUGCCAUUGAUACUGAAGAGCUUGAGUACAAUUGAGGUAAGCGGAAUGUGUAGUGUAGCGGUGAAAUGCUUAGAUAUUACACAGAACACCGAUUGCGAAGGCAGCUUACCAAACUGUUACUGACGCUGAUGCACGAAAG